CGUGCGGUGAAGCUUUUCUUGUUUAAAGCUCAAUUUCUCUAUGACCACUGAAGUAGUCAUCCUGAUGCAUUUUUGCCAUGAGCAUGUUUAGACCACUUUCAUUUUUAAAAUCGUUUCUCUGACAUAUUCCACAGGAUCAGCUGAGAUGUUAUUUCACUGAAUUAUUUAAUUGAUAGGCUUAUUUGGCAUAUAUUUGGAUAUCUCUGUCAUCAACAUGGAAGAUAUGUUUUGUUCCUAACUAUCUAUAAUCAAUUCUCUGUGAAGUUCAGACUGUCUGCUCUUCCUUUGGAAAUACACAGUUAGUCAAACAACAUAGAAACACACAA